rnacentral:lncRNA from 10 species
CUGUGUCAUUCCACCCGCGUGAGGUCCCUAUACUGUGUCAUUCCACCCACGUCAGGUCCCUACAAACACUGUGUCAUUCCACCCACGUGAGGUCCCUACACUGUGUAAUUCCACCCGCGUGAGGUCCCUACAAACACUGUCAUUCCACCCGUGUGAGAUCCCUACAAACACUGUGUCAUUCCACCCGCCUGAGGUCCCUACACUGUGUCAUCCCACCCGACUGAGGUCCCUACAAACACUGUGUCAUUCCACCCGCCUGAGGACCCUACAAACACUGUGUCAUUCCACCCGUGUGAGGUCCCUACACUGUGUCAUCCUACCCGCCUGAGGUCCCUACAAACACUGUGUCAUUCCACCCGCCUGAGGUCCCUACAAACACUGUCAUUCCACCCACGUGAGAUCCCUACAUUGUGUCAUUCCACCCGCCUGAGGUCCCUACAAACACUGUGUCAUUCCACCCACCUGAGGUCCGUACAAACACUGUGUCAUUCCACCCACGCGAGAUCCCUACACUGUGUCAUUCCACCCGCCUGAGGUCCCUACAAAGACUGUGUCAUUCCACCUGCCUGAGGUCCCUACAAACGCUGUGCCAUUCCACCCACGUGAGGUCCCUACACUGUCAUUCCACCCGCCUGAGGUCCCUACAAAGACUGUGUCAUUCCACCUGCCUGAGGUCCCUACAAACGCUGUGCCAUUCCACCCACGUGAGGUCCCUACACUGUCAUUCCACCCGCCUGAGGUCCCUACACUGUGUCAUUCCGCCCGCCUGAGGUCGCUACAAGCACUGUGUCAUUCCACCCACGUGAGAUCCCUACACUGUGUCAUUCCACCCGCCUGAGGUCCCUACACUGUCAUUCCAGCCGCCUGACGUCCCUACAAACACUGUGUCACUCCACCCGCCUGAGGUCCCUACACUGUGUCAUCCCGCUCGCCUGAGGUCCCUACAAACACUGUGUCAUUCCACCCGCCUGAGGUCCCUACAAACACUGUGUCAUUCCACCCGCCUGAGGUCCCUACACUGUGUCAUUCCAUCCGCCUGAGGUCCCUACAAACGCUGUGCCAUUCCACCCAUGUGAGGUCCCUACACUGUGUCAUUCCACCCGCCUGAGGUCCCUACACUGUGUCAUUCCACCCCCGUGAGGUCCCCACACUGUGUCAUUCCACCCGCGUGAGGUCCCUACAAACACUGUGUCAUUCCACCCGUGUGAGGUCCCUACAAACACUGUGUCAUUCCACCCGCCUGAGGUCCCUACAAACACUGUCAUUCCACCCGCGUGAGGUCCCUACACUGUGUCAUCCUACCCGCCUGAGGUCCCUACAAACACUGUGUCAUUCCACCUGCCUGAGGUCCCUACAAACACUGUCACUCCACCCGCGUUAGGUCCCUACAAACACUGUCAUUCCACCCGCCUGAGGUCCCUACAAACACUGUGUCACUCCACCCGUGUGAGGUCCCUAAAAACACUGUGUCAUUCCACCCAUGUGAGAUCCCUACAUUGUGUCAUUCCACCCGCCUGAGGUCCCUACAAACACUGUGUCAUUCCACCCGCCUGAGGUCCCUACAAACACUGUGUCAUUCCACCCACGUGAGAUCCCUACACCGUGUCAUUCCACCCGCCUGAGGUCCCUACAAACACUGUGUCAUUCCACCUGCCUGAGGUCCCUACAAACACUGUGUCAUUCCACCUGCCUGAGGUCCCUACAAACGCUGUGCCAUUCCACCCACGUGAGGUCCCUACACUGUGUCAUUCCAUCCGCCUGAGGUCCCUACAAACACUGACAUUCCACCCGCCUGAGGUCCCUACAAACACUGUGUCACUCCACCCGCCUGAGGUCCCUACAAACACUGUGUCAUCCCACCCGCCUGAGGUCCCUACACUGUGUCAUUCCACCCACGUGAGGUCCCUGCAAACACUGUGUCAUUCCACCCGUGUGAGGUCCCUACAAACACUGUGUCAUUCCACCCGCCUGAGGUCCCUACACUGUGUCAUUCCACCCACGUGAGGUCCCUGCAAACACUGUGUCAUUCCACCCGUGUGAGGUCCCUACAAACACUGUGUCAUUCCACCCGCCUGAGGUCCCUACACUGUGUCAUUCCACCCACGUGAGGUCCCUACACUGUGUCAUUCCACCCGCCUGAGGUCCCUAUACUGUGUCAUUCCACCCACGUGAGGUCCCUACACUGUGUCAUUCCACCCGCCUGAGGUCCCUACACUGUCAUUCCACCCACAUGAGGUCCCUACACUGUGUCAUUCCACCCGCCUGAGGUCCCUACACUGUGUCAUUCCACCCACGUGAGGUCCCUACAAACACUGUCAUUCCACCCGCCUGAGGUCCCUACAAACACUGUGUCAUUCCACCCGCCUGAGGUCCCUACAAACACUGUGUCAUUCCAUCCGUGUGAGGUCCCUACAAACACUGUCAUUCCACCCGCCUGAGGUCCCUACAAACACUGUCAUUCCACCCGACUGAGGUCCCUACAAACACUGUCAUUCCACCCGACUGAGGUCCCUACACUGUGUCAUUCCACCUGCGUGAGGUCCCUACACUGUGUCAUCCCACCCGCCUGAGGUCCCUACACUGUGUCAUUCCACCUGCCUGAGGUCCCUACAAACACUGUGUCAUUCCACCCGCCUGAGGUCCCUACAAACACUGUGUCAUUCCACCCGCCUGAGGUCCCUACACUGUGUCAUUCCACCCACCUGAGGUCCCUACAAACGCUGUGUCAUUCCACCCGCCUGAGGUCCCUACACUGUGUCAUUCCACCCACGUGAGGUCCCUGCAAACACUGUGUCAUUCCACCCGUGUGAGGUCCCUACAAACACUGUGUCAUUCCACCCGCCUGAGGUCCCUACACUGUGUCAUUCCACCCACGUGAGGUCCCUACACUGUGUCAUUCCACCCACCUGAGGUCCCUACACUGUGUCAUUCCACCCACCUGAGGUCCCUACAAACGCUGUGUCAUUCCACCCGCCUGAGGUCCCUACAAACGUUGUGUCAUUCCACCUGCGUGAGGUCCCUACAAACACUGUCAUUCCACCCGCCUGAGGUCCCUACAAACACUGUCAUUCCACCCGACUGAGGUCCCUACAAACACUGUGUCAUUCCACCUGCGUGAGGUCCCUACACUGUGUCAUUCCACCCGCCUGAGGUCCCUACACUGUGUCAUUCCGCCUGCCUGAGGUCCCUACAAACACUAUGUCAUUCCACCUGCCUGAGGUCCCUACAAACACUGUGUCAUUCCACCCGCCUGAGGUCCCUACAAACGCUGUGUCAUUCCACCCGCCUGAGGUCCCUAGACUGGGCAAAUUCAGAGACAGAAAGUAGAAUGGUGGUCGCCAGGGGCCGGGGAAGGGGAGAAGGGGAGUUAUUGUUUAAUAGGACAAAGUUGUGUUGGUAAUGAGGAAGUUGUUUUGGGAACAGGUAGUGGUGAUAGCUACACAACACUGUAAGUGCAUUUACCACCACGCAACUGUACACUUAUGAACGGCUAAAAUGAUAAAUAUUAUGCCAUGUAUAUUUUACCACAAUUAAAAAAAAUUCCUAGACCUCAAAAAAAAAAAAAAAAUCCCAAUCUAUGCCAACCUGGGUGUCACAUUUCUCUCUGUAGGUCAAGUGAAACAUGGCCCAAACCACCCUAAGUUGCUGACAUAUAGAUGCGAACUCCACAGAGCCCGCCUCUGGGUGCUGUGUGUGCGCCUCCACCACAGCCUGUCCUGCGGGGAACACGGAGGUUAUCAGGGCGCGUGGCCAGAGAAAGGUUCCAUCUACUUUUUAAAUAACCCAGCAGCAGACAUUUAAUGGAUUUCUAUGGUUACUAUUUUACCUACGACAUAUUUGACUGUGAUCAGUACUUUAGGGCGUACACAGAAAGCCGUAUGCUGAUACCUUCAUAAUCCAAAUAGAUUACGCCUUUUACUACUGAAUUCUUUAAUGAACAGUAAGCAAAUUGAGAAUGGUUAAAGUAAAAACUUUCUCAUUCUCUCCAUUUUAAGAUCACUAUUACACACCUGAACUUAACCGGGGCUCUAUGGCAGAGGAGAUUAAUAAUUUUGGUUAAUACUACUUCAACGAUUAUCUAAUAUUUCAGAUGCCUUUAACAACAUCUAUCUGUUACCAUAAACGAAGUCAACAUCUAAGAAAUGUGACCUGUGACACUGAACAGAUCUCUAGGGUCUGACAAAGUUGCAGGGAGCUGGAGAAGCGCGGCCACGGCAGAGCUGCAAUUCCCCAUCGGCCUCUGUCUGAUAAAAGGCAACCCAUGGAUCUAUUUGGAUAAACACUCAAGAGCAGGGACAGGCUAUGAACCAAUUUCACAGACAGUGCCUCCAGUGAGGAAGGAGUGCGGGCAACGGAGUUGGGGAGUUAAAACGGAGAUGGACAGCCUCAACAUGACCGUAGCCUUCAUCUCUUCAAAAACCCAAAACAAGAUGGACCGUUGUUAAGUGUGGAGUAUGUGGGUGUUUAUUUAUUUUAUGCAAAUAAUACAUAAUUAUUUAUUCUAAAAGCAACCUAUCCCAAUGUGAGGUGGCAAACAACGGAGCCUCCCGUACACAGGUUACUGCAAAGGACGGGAGCAAAGCUGAGACGCAGCCUUCAAUGCCUACGAAAGCCAGGAACGUUUACAAACGCACUGGUACACGUAAGGCACGAAUCCCCCCUUUUCAAUCAUUAUUACUAGCUGAGUUUUUGUUUUGCUUUCUUUUAAAUCUAGUUAUGUACUAGAGCUUUUGUAAUGAAUACUCUUUUAGGGAUACUACUUCGCCAUUCUAGAUUCUGGAACAGAACUAUUGAAAUUAAAAAAAAAAAAUUUAAGGUAUUUUCAAACAUGACAAAAUGGCAGCCUAAAACCAUUAAAAUUCCAGAAAACCGGAGCACAACAGAAGGUGGGGUGCUAAGCAGUGCUGAGUCACUAUUAGGGGUGCACGGAGAGAAAAACCUUCCUCCUUCGAGUUGCUAGAACUCCCUCUUUACCUUUUCUUAAGGGCACUUUUCUCCUUAUACCUACAAACAAUGCAUUCUUGGUGUGGAACAUAAAAUAAUACAGAAAUGUGCAGAAUAAAAGCCAAAGUCUCUGUUCAGUGAGGCGUGACCACCCUUUCCCCACAGGCACCCCCGAUGUCACCCCUGGAUAUCUGCUUUCCAGAGCAGCAUUUACAACCACACUCAGCUUCGCCUGGGGUCACCGUUCUUCUGCAAAAGCUGCUGUUUUCACCCAAUGUGUCACAGACUGCUCUCCGAGGGGCCCAGAACACUCUUACUCCACAAAGUGUGUGUUCUAACACAUGUAACCGCCUCACUACUUUUAGGCAUUUAGUGUUUUCAACGUUGUAUCACUGCAGUGCACAUCUUUCUGAAAUGCUGGCCUAUUUCCUGUAGGAUUCCUACAAGUGGAACCUUGGGGUCCUAACCCUUGUGUUAAGUUUGAGAGAGAAAUGUCAAAUUACCCUCCAAAAAAUGAGUGUACAGACACUCCUUCCAGAAAUGACUAGGAAAAAUGGAACAUUAUUAUUGCUUUAAUUAGAAUGUCUUUGCUUAUUUGAGACAGGGUCCACUCUGUUCCCAGGCUGGAAUGCAGUGGUGUGAUCACAGCUCACAGCAGCCUUGACCUCCUGGGCUCAAGGGAUCCUCCUGCCUUGGCCUCCCAAAGUGCUGGGAUUACAGGUGUGAGGCCGGUCAUAUCUUUGCUCAUUAAUACCAUUUCUAUGAUGAUUAAUGUUAACUCUUUUACUCACCACCCACUUAAAACAAACCAGCCAUUAGAUGCGGUUAAACAUGCAGACCUAUUGUCUGUGUUUUUUUCACUCAAAUGUUGCUAAUUAUCAGCAAACCUGCUGCCCCUUUCAGGCAGGUAUGGUGACUCACCCAAGAAUUC